GGAGAAGUACCCAAGUGGUGAAGGGGCGGUCCUGCUAAGACUGUAGGUCGGGGAAAAACCCCGGCGCGUGGGUUCGAAUCCCACCUUCUCCG
rnacentral:tRNA from 2 species